UAUAAAAGACAAGUAUGUUCUUUUUCUUGGUAUUCGUCUCUUAUUUCCUUUGUAAAAGAAAGAGUGUAAAAGAAAGAGUGAUGUGCAAGUAUUGUAUAGUAUUAGUAUAGUACCUCAGGAUAAGGAGGGAGUGAUUGAGGCUGAACAAACCGUUGAGCUGCCAUUAAUUUCUUUUCCACAAGAAAGUGAAAAAAAAAAAAUAUAUAUAUAUAUCACACACACAAUUCAAACUUCAAAGUCCAAACUCUCAGACAGGAGUAGUUUCAGUCAGUCCCCACAACAAAGGCACCACCUCUCAACAACAUCAGUAACUGCUGCUUUCUUGCUUUCUUUCUUUCAAAUUCUUGCAAACCAAACACUUUAUUUUGAUCUGAAUUUUGCCCAAAAGUAUAUGGGCAGCUAUGCAAAUGCAUAUAAUUUUUCUUCCUUAAUUACUUUAUUUUAUUAUGAAUAUUAUUAUUAUUUUUUUCCUUUUCUUUACUUUUGUUGUGAUCCUUCCUAAAGGCAAAAUGGACGGUUGGGAAUGGUUUGGUUGGAGAUGAUCGGAUGACUAUGGUAAUGUAAUGAUGUUGUCACUAAGAUCAGUGACGUGGCUCGCGUUCAAUAUUUUUAAAUAAUAAAAAUUAUAAUUACAAGUUUAUCCAUUGUUUUUGGUAGGUUUUUGUUAUCAUCAAUCUUGGUUUGGACUUUUCCUCCGGAAAC
rnacentral:lncRNA from 1 species